rnacentral:rRNA from 1 species
AGCGAACGCUGGCGGCAGGCUUAACACAUGCAAGUCGAGCGGGCACUUUCGGGUGUCAGCGGCGGACGGGUGAGUAACGCGUGGGAACGUGCCCUCUGGUUCGGAAUAACUCAGGGAAACUUGAGCUAAUACCGGAUACGCCCUUUUGGGGAAAGGCUUGCUGCCGGAGGAUCGGCCCGCGUCUGAUUAGCUAGUUGGUGAGGUAACGGCUCACCAAGGCGGCGAUCAGUAGCUGGUCUGAGAGGAUGAUCAGCCACACUGGGACUGAGACACGGCCCAGACUCCUACGGGAGGCAGCAGUGGGGAAUAUUGGACAAUGGGCGCAAGCCUGAUCCAGCCAUGCCGCGUGAGUGAUGAAGGCCUUAGGGUUGUAAAGCUCUUUUAUCCGGGACGAUAAUGACGGUACCGGAGGAAUAAGCCCCGGCUAACUUCGUG